AAUAAAUUACUUGCACAGAAAUCCUGGUUCAAUCGCUUCGGUUACAGCUGAGGAGGUAAAAUGGCUCGCUGAAUUAUACCAGCUAGCGGCUGUCAAUCACUGCUAGGACCCUGUGUCCUGGUUUCCAGUCCACCAUUCUUCAUGAUCUGACAUGCCGCGCAGGCUUAAAACAACAGGAUUGGAAAACACCAGUCACAAUCGCCAAAACGUGAACACAAUGCAAAUGGCCAUCAAGGUAAGAGUGGAUAAACGAACUGUGGUGUGACCCAUACAGCGGACUAUUACUCAGGCGUAAAAAGGAAAGAAGUACGGCCGUCCUUUAAACCCCUGGGGCUAGGAGCCCCGCCCUCUACCCCUCCCAGGUGAAAAUCCGGGUAUAACUUUUGACCUGCGCGUUUUAAACCCACCAACAGGCGGGCUGGGACCCCGCAGCGGCUUUGGUGGGCCUGGCCCCAGCUUGGCGGUGUGUGCAGCCUGGUGGCUUUGCCUUGGUAACGACAGUCACCUGGAGGCAGAGUGCAGCUGUCCCCCUCUGCUGGGAGGUGCAACACCAGCUGGAGGCCUUCGGCGGCGGCAGCGACGACACGUAUCCCAGGAGCCUCAAACACCAAACUGUGACUCCUGAGACCAGCAAGACUCUUGCUUUCUGCUUGACAUUUAUUCCAUGUGAGUUAUGAAGACUUGGAGACCCCUCAAAGGAAAAUCCAGGUAAAUGUGGAUGAUUCCCUUGUUUUAAGGGUUCUGUUCCUUAUAGUUUUGCCUGCUAUUGGUUGCUCUCAAGAGCCUCUCAUUUAAAAAAAAAUGUCCAACAUUGGUAGCUGCUAUAGACAGAAAAAUUAGUCCAAUGUAAGUUACUCCGCCAUUAUCGGAAGCUGGAAGUCUAAUCAGUCUUUAUUGGUGGACAUUUAGUUUUUCAUUUUGGACUUUGGCAAAUAACACUGCCGUCGUAAACCCAUACAACCCAACCAAUCUAAACACCCUAGUGUGGUUUUGUGAGUAAAAUAGUGGGAAUAGUGCCUAAUGAUAGAAUCACUAGAUCUAAGAGUACAUGCUUUAAAACAUUUGUCAGAAAUUGCCAAAUUUAUCUCUAAAAUAUGGUAGCAAUUAUAUCUGGGUUGACUGUUUAUCACACCUUCAAAACU
rnacentral:lncRNA from 1 species